ACAUCAGCGGGCCAGCUCCUGUCAGGCAGGCGGCCGGCGAUUGGCCGGGAGGAGGCAGUCAUUCAAACUGCCUUUUGUGUUUGGCUAAUCAGGGCAGCCCAGGUUCCCAGCGGAGGUGCGUCUGUGGUGUCAGACACCUGUGUCUCAGCUCUGUCUUCCUCGGGCUAGCUCCUGCGGAUCCUUCCUGGGCAGAACCGUGCCUCUAGGCCACCUCCCCCAAGCCACCAAGCCCCCGCGGUGGGCCAGCCUUGGCCCAGUGUCACGCAGGACAGAAAUGACCAACAGAUAACUGAGGACAAUGGACCUGCCUGGGCAUAGACUUCCUUAAGGGUCUCGCUUUGUCACCCAGCCUGGAAUGCAGUGGUGCGAUCUUGACUCACUGCAGCUUGGAUCUCCUGGGCUCAAGCGAUUCUCCUGUCUCAGCCUCCCGAAUAGCUGGGACUACAGCCUCUCCCCACCUGUCACUGUUAGCCUCGAGUUUGACCCUCAACAUCCCCAGAGGA
rnacentral:sRNA from 1 species